rnacentral:rRNA from 1 species
AAAGAUUAAGCCAUGCAUGUCUAAGUAUAAGCAAUCUAUACGGUGAAACUGCGAAUGGCUCAUUAAAUCAGUUAUCGUUUAUUUGAUAGUACCUAACCUACUUGGAUAACCGUGGUAAUUCUAGAGCUAAUACAUGCUAAAAACCUCGACUUCGGAAGGGGUGUAUUUAUUAGAUAAAAAACCAAUGCCCUUCGGGGCUCCUUGGUGAUUCAUAAUAACUCAACGAAUCGCAUGGCCUUGCGCCGGCGAUGGUUCAUUCAAAUUUCUGCCCUAUCAACUUUCGAUGGUAGGAUAGUGGCCUACCAUGGUGUUAACGGGUAACGGGGAAUUAGGGUUCUAUUCCGGAGAGGGAGCCUGAGAAACGGCUACCACAUCCAAGGAAGGCAGCAGGCGCGCAAAUUACCCAAUCCCGACACGGGGAGGUAGUGACAAUAAAUACUGAUACAGGGCCCUUUCGGGUCUUGUAAUUGGAAUGAGUACAAUUUAAAUCCCUAACGAGGAAUCCAGGG